UUCUAUGUCUCUGCCACCAGAAUGAAAACCCCCUGAGAUCUGAGCUCACCUGUCUUGUUUGCUGCUGGAUUCCCAGAGUCUGACUCAGCACCGGCAUUUAAGGAUAGAGUAGAGAACAGAGGCACUCGCGCACAGUGUCAGUGACAUCGAAAGACAGCCAUUCAGCGGUGCCCCUUGUGGGCAGAUUCUUGCCACCUAUGUAGCGCUGCUUGGCUAUGUGCUCAUCCGGUCGAAGUAUCUGUGGGGCAGAGGAGAGAGUGUGUUAUCUAAGGCUGGGACGGAGUACCAGGGAUGGGUUACAAUGCCAGCUUGGUGAGACAAGCAAGGGGAGACCAAAGGCUUCUGAACACCAUACUUUCUGCACACCUCGGGUAAUGCAGCCCUCUUAAUGACAGAGGCUGGGGGGAGUC
rnacentral:lncRNA from 1 species